AAAUACAUUUAAGAGAGAGAAGAAAAAUUCCUAUUAAGAACUUUUAACACUGGAAUUACCUGAGUUUCACUUACCUGGAAUAUUUUUUGUGUGGCAUAAAUUGGCAACAGAGGUCAGGACAGUUGGACGCAAAUGCCCCGGGCCCUAUGUGAUGAGUCUCCUGCAGCCAGGUCCUGUGUUCCCAAGUGGGAACAGUGAGAACAGUGACCUCACUGUACUCCCAAAUCACAUUUGUUCUAAAAUUUUAUCCUUCUCUACUUUUGCCAAUCACUACUUUUCUUGUCUUUUGCAGAUAUGUUAUGCUAUUAAUUUGGGAAAAGAAAUUAUUGAGGUUCAGAAGGAUCCAGAAGCACUGGCUCAAUUAAUGCUGUCCAUACCACUAACCAAUGACGGAAAAUAUGUACUGUUAAACGAUCAACCAGAUGACGAUGAUGGAAAUCCAAACGAACAUAGAGGCGCAGAAUCCGAAGCAUAACUCACUUGCGCCUGUGGGGGAAGAGCAAACAGGAAGGAGAGCUACCUCCUAAGGGUUUUAACGUCUCUGACAUACAGGCACACUGACCUGAUUUCCGAAGGCUGACAAUCGUUUGUGGAAUGUAAUCUUGAUGCCUUGAUACUGAGACUUGGGAGGGAAACUAAGAAAUGGUUGACAGCGUUCCCACCCAUCUACAAUGUUAUUUUAGG
rnacentral:lncRNA from 1 species